UUUUGCUUUUCCUACAUGCUCUACUAUUUUUGUUGCACACUUUAAUGGUAAAAUUUUUUAAAAUUGCUUUUUUUUUUUUCCGUUUUUUUUUUUAUGUUGCGCAAGUGGCGCAACUUAAAAAACAAAAACACGCACACCGCUAACCACAGGAAAUAUCGCAUAUAAAGUAGUUUAUAAUUUUUUUUUUAUACCGUUCUUAUAACUGAAGAAGCCAGACGAAUUUUAACACAGCAAACACGAAAGAAUGAAUUUUAAUUACCGUAUUUCCUCGAAAUUACACGCUCCAUAUUCGGUUUGGCGGGCCGAAAAAUGCGCGCUUUAUACGAGGAACAGAGAGAGAGAGAGAGAGAGAGGGAGGAGGACGUCGCAAACUGUUCGUAAUUAACGAAAUUCUGUUUAUUUUUAUUUUUUUAAACACACUCCGCCGCUUCCGAUCGCGUAUUAUUCGAAAAACUGUUUUUGAAUGUAGACGUUAAGAAAAACAUUUUCAUUCAGAGCCAAGUUAUUAUGCAGAAAAGCAACAAAUUUGUAAGAGGCGAGAUGACCCGUUUUUGCCAAUACCUCAUCUUGCAAAUCCAUCAGAAUGAUACACGACCGUUGCAUAACGUUAUUCGAUGUGCCAGCAAAAUAUAUAUACUCAAGAGAAACUGCACACACUCACUUACGUUUAUUGAAAAGUUAAUUCAAUCAUCCCAUCCGAAACAAAUAAGAAUUUUUGCAAUUUUUUUUUUCUCUCUCUCUC
rnacentral:lncRNA from 1 species